AAUGACGCGCGCGAAUUCUGUGAGCUCUUCAAAAUUAAAGAAAUAAAUUAAAUUAAAUAAAAAUUAAACAUCCGCGACGUGAAAAAUAAUACAUAAAGGUGUCCUAGUGAAAGAAGAGAUUGAAGAGGAACAAGAAACUGCACCGGGAGCGUCGAUAGUCGGAGUUUCAGGGAACUCACACAACUGCAGGAAGCGGAUGAAUUGCCGCAAACACCAAAACAAAGGAUAGUGAAUGUGUAAAGAUUCCGAGCGAAAGAAAUAAGAUUACUUUGCCGAAUUUUGCUGUUUAAUAUAGUAAAUAGAUUAUGUUUUACUUGUACCUUAAAGAAAAUUGUUUACUAACCCUGAUAUGCCUUUAUAAGUUUAAACAUGUAAUUGUAAACAGGUAAACUUGCCUUUAAUCUUUAUUUUUAACUUCACGUUAAGAUUUUAAAUAUAAAUAUCUUGAUAUUUUGCCAGAAGUAAAGAAAUUUAAAAUUGUUUACAAUUAUAAAAUAAUCUUAAUUGGCUAGUUUCUAUAACUGUGUUCCCUGAUAAGGAAUAUUGUUAAAAAUUGAUAUAUUUGUUUGAAUAAAAGCCAAUAUUUUUGGGCUAAUUAUUAAAAACGAAAUGAACUGUGUAUUUAUUGUACAAGUCUAUUCCUUAAUUUUUCAAUCUUAAUUCGCUUCGUCGAAUCAAGUGUAAAUAAAAGUGAAUUAUGGAAAAACUGGAAAGGAAGAAGAACAGUUUACAAUUCAGCUUUAAUAUGAAGAGUCAACUCUAUUCAAAUCAGUAAUAAGCAAACACCAAAACAAAGGAUAGUGAAUGUGUAAAGAUUCCGAGCGAAAGAAAUAAGAUUACUUUGCCGAAUUUUGCUGUUUAAUAUAGUAAAUAGAUUAUGUUUUACUUGUACCUUAAAGAAAAUUGUUUACUAACCCUGAUAUGCCUUUAUAAGUUUAAACAUGUAAUUGUAAACAGGUAAACUUGCCUUUAAUUUUUAUUUGUAACUUCACGUUAAGAUUUUAAAUAUAAAUAUCUUGAUAUUUUGCCAGAAGUAAAGAAAUUUAAAAUUGUUUACAAUUAUAAAAUAAUCUUAAUUGGCUAGUUUCUAUAACUGUGUUCCCUGAUAAGGAAUAUUGUUAAAAAUUGAUAUAUUUGUUUGAAUAAAAGCCAAUAUUUUUGGGCUAAUUAUUAAAAACGAAAUGAACUGUGUAUUUAUUGUACAAGUCUAUUCCUUAAUUUUUCAAUCUUAAUUCGCUUCGUCGAAUCAAGUGUAAAUAAAAGUGAAUUAUGGAAAAACUGGAAAGGAAGAAGAACAGUUUACAAUUCAGCUUUAAUAUGAAGAGUCAACUCUAUUCAAAUCAGUAAUAAGCAAACACCAAAACAAAGGAUAGUGAAUGUGUAAAGAUUCCGAGCGAAAGAAAUAAGAUUACUUUGCCGAAUUUUGCUGUUUAAUAUAGUAAAUAGAUUAUGUUUUACUUGUACCUUAAAGAAAAUUGUUUACUAACCCUGAUAUGCCUUUAUAAGUUUAAACAUGUAAUUGUAAACAGGUAAACUUGCCUUUAAUUUUUAUUUGUAACUUCACGUUAAGAUUUUAAAUAUAAAUAUCUUGAUAUUUUGCCAGAAGUAAAGAAAUUUAAAAUUGUUUACAAUUAUAAAAUAAUCUUAAUUGGCUAGUUUCUAUAACUGUGUUCCCUGAUAAGGAAUAUUGUUAAAAAUUGAUAUAUUUGUUUGAAUAAAAGCCAAUAUUUUUGGGCUAAUUAUUAAAAACGAAAUGAACUGUGUAUUUAUUGUACAAGUCUAUUCCUUAAUUUUUCAAUCUUAAUUCGCUUCGUCGAAUCAAGUGUAAAUAAAAGUGAAUUAUGGAAAAACUGGAAAGGAAGAAGAACAGUUUACAAUUCAGCUUUAAUAUGAAGAGUCAACUCUAUUCAAAUCAGUAAUAAGCAAACACCAAAACAAAGGAUAGUGAAUGUGUAAAGAUUCCGAGCGAAAAAAUAAGAUUACUUUGCCGAAUUUUGCUGUUUAAUAUAGUAAAUAGAUUAUGUUUUACUUGUACCUUAAAGAAAAUUGUUUACUAACCCUGAUAUGCCUUUAUAAGUUUAAACAUGUAAUUGUAAACAGGUAAACUUGCCUUUAAUCUUUAUUUUUAACUUCACGUUAAGAUUUUAAAUAUAAAUAUCUUGAUAUUUUGCCAGAAGUAAAGAAAUUUAAAAUUGUUUACAAUUAUAAAAUAAUCUCAAUUGGCUAGUUUCUAUAACUGUGUACCCCUGAUGGGGAAUAUUGUUAAAAAUUAAUAUAUUUGUUUGAAUAAAAGCCAAUAUUUUUGGGCGAAUUAUUAAAAACCAAA